rnacentral:misc_RNA from 1 species
UCACCGCUUGCGCGGGCAGUUCCACUAGAGUCCCCGGCCGAACCGCUGGCAACUAAUGGUAGGGGUUGCGCUCGUUAUGGGACUUAACCCGACACCUCACGGCACGAGCUGACGACAGCCAUGCAGCACCUCGCACGCCGUCCGAAGAAAGGGACGUUUCCGCCCCGGUCGUCGUGCGUUCGAGCCCUGGUAAGGUUCUUCGCGUUGCAUCGAAUUAAACCACAUGCUCCGCCGCUUGUGCGGGUCCCCGUCAAUUCCUUUGAGUUUUAGCCUUGCGGUCGUACUCCCCAGGCGGGGCGCUUAAUGCGUUAGCUACGGCACGGAUCCCGUGGAAGGAAACCCACACCUAGCGCCCACCGUUUACGGCGUGGACUAC